UGGCUGUUGAACACUUAAAAUGUGGUUAGUCCAAAUUAGGAUGAGUUAUAAACGUAAAAAUAUAUACUGGAUUUCAAAGUCCUAGGAUGAAAAAAGAACGUAACUUGUGUCAUAAAUUGUCUCGGAAAUAAUUGGCAUACUGAUUACAUGUUGAAAUGGUAGCAUUUUUGGAUACAUUGGGGUAAACAAAAUACAUUUCUAAAAUUAAUUUCACUUGCUUCUUUUUACCUUAUUAAUGUGGCUACAAAAAAAUUUAAAUUACAUGUGUCUCACAUUCUAUUUUUUAAAAAUUUUUAUUAAGUUUUUAAUUUUAAGCCCAGUAUAGUUAACAAAUGUGCUUCGUUAGUUUCAGGCAUACAAUAUAGUGAUUCAACAAUUCUAUACAUUACUUAGGGCUCAUCGUAAGUGUACUCCUUUUUUUCUUUAAUUUUUUAAUGUUUCUUUUUGAGAGAGAGAGAGAGAGAGCAGGGGAAGGGCAAAGAAAGAAGGAGACACAGAAUCCGAAGCAGGCUCCAGGCUGUGAGCUGUCAACACAGAGCCCAACGCAGGUCUCACAGACCGUGAGAUCAUGACCUGAGCCGAAGUCAGAAGCUUAACCAACUGAGCCACCCAGGCGCCCCCAUCGGUAAGCAUAAUAUGUGGCCUGAAAACCGACCUCCUGAGACCAGUUCCUUGGACUCCCUAUACCUGAAUUUUUGGAUCAAACGUUUAAUGUUUCAGGCUAAUGUUUUAAAAAUGGAAAUGAAUCAGAAGACAGAGGGUGCCUCUGGGAUCUCAAACUGGUUUUUGUCCUCUUUUCACAGAAGAACGAAGGAGAACAUUCUUACCUGUCUGGAAACCGUCUAUCUAUUUCGGUCAUUUAACCCCCCCCAAAAGUGAGUCUAAUGAAGGAUUUUUCAGGAAGGAGAGGAAGACCAGCUUAGCAAAAGGUAUCACCUAGGUCCUAUUAAUCCAGCUCCCCAAUUAGCAUCUUCUGGAGUGGGAUGCUUUGUGCAACCUCAAUGGCCAUGGGCCGUGAUGUUGGUACAGAAUCAGUGGGCUUUGCAAAGGUAUGUGCUUAUAAUGUGGAAACAGUCUGUCACACGUAGCAAGAGUUCUGUGUGUGUGUGCGCGCGCACACGUCUGUCUGUCUGUCUUCUCUGUGUCCCUGUGUCUGGACCUCCACAGAAUCGUAUGUCAGGAUAUUUGGUGCACAGAUGUGGGCUACAAGUGCUGUCUGAUGUCGCCCCCGCCCCCACUGACGUUGAAGACCUUCUUUUAUCACCGAAGCGGGCUCUCAUGCAUGAUCGGCGGGUCAGCUGAGGGCCAUAAUAAGUCCUGGCCAGCCCUGCCCAGUAAUCUUUAAACUCUGACUCCUCCUCGGCUGCUUUCCUGGCAAAUUCCUUUGGCACAUUGCUUGAAGGUGAGUAAAUGGGCAGGAGCAGUGGAGGAGGUGUUUAGAAGUGGCCUUGACUCCUCUUUCAGUUGGAAACUGUAUCUGAAACCUGAGCCAGGAGAUGCUUGUCCUUACACUACUGUGGCUGGGAGAGUUACUGUUAUAACCUAGAGGGCAAGGAAGACAGCAGAAAAAGAAAACCUGGAUGUGAAUGCCACGUAAAUCACGGGGCAAGGGUCCAGAGUGUGCAGCUACAUCUCACCAUGUUUUUUGUCUGAGAUGGUCAUGGAGUUUGACUCUGAAAGUCAUGCAGAUGAUCCAGAAAAAGAGCCAGGAAAAAUGGCUAAAAGGCAACACCGUCCAGGGGAAUGUUCUGUGAUGAUGGGAAUGUUCUAUAUCUGUGCUGUUCCGUCAGUAGCAACUAGUCAUAUGGCUGCUGGGCACUUGGAAUGUGGUAGUGUGGUUGAGAAGCAGAAUUUCUUAUUUUAUCUACCUAUCUAUCUAUCUAUCUAUCAUCUAUCUAUCUAUCUAUCUACUGUAUUUUAUUUUAGAGAGAGAGAGCACACAAACAGGGGAGAGAGCCUGAGGGAGAGAGAGAAUCUUAAGCAGUCUUCACGUUCAGUGUGAAGCCUGACACGGGGCUCUAUCCCAUGACCCUGGAUCAUGACCUAAAACGAAAUUAAGACUUGGACACCCAACCAACUGAGCCAACUGGGCGCCCCCAGAGUUUCUAAUUUUAAUUGAUACAAACGUAAAGAGCCACCUAUGGCUAGUGGCCGCCAUAUUGGAACUGCACAGAUCUAGGGCAGCCGUCUGCAGUGAGGGAAAUGCAUAGCUCCUCUGUCCCAGAGGGUAGCCACUAGCCUCAUGUGACUAUCGAGCACUUGAAAUGAGACUAUCGACUGAGGAAUUGAGUUUUGAGGGUCAUUUGCUUGUGAUAAAUUCAAAUUUGCAUUUGGAAAGCCGCAUGUGGCUACUGGCUGCUGCACUGGGCAGCACAGGGUCAAGGCAUCGGUUCAAGACGCAGCACACUCUCCUGCUCAGCGGGUUUGCUUUUCCCUUCCCUGAGAUGAUGCGUAUUGCUCACUUCUCUCUUGGCUGAAGGAAAACGCCCCUGAAGGCACUUGUAAUGCCCAUCACCUUCCUUAUUCUUCAGGCACCAACUUGUUUCGGGAGCCCGUAAAGAAGGUUUAAGGGCAAAACGUUUCUGGAUAGGAUAUACUUGCUACCUGCGAAUGUUCUCUCUGUGGACACAUGGACCAAAUCCAAUUUCCUAAGCUACUUUCACACUGGGCGGGUCUCCCGUCUGCCCACGGGAUUUAUCUCUGAGAAUGCAACGAAGCUUAUUUUCUGAAUUCAAGAUUCUCCAGGCUCCUUCUUCCUCUCAUUGUUUGUUUCAGCUGCAGUUUUAUUCAUCUGUUUUACCACUGCUGUCACCUCAAAGUCUAGAAAUGUGAUCAUGGUCAAACAACUUGAAGGAGCUAUCUGCUUGAGUUGGAUUCCCCCGUGUCCGUGGCAUUGAUAAAUAUCCCUACAAACACCACUUGGAAGGACACACUGAAUCAUCCUGAAACCCCUCGUCGUUCCUGGUUUUACCUAUUUACUAUCUUACAGUUCUGGAAGACGGGAGUCUGACCGUGGGUCUUACUGAGCUAAAUCAAGGUGUUGAUGGGCGCUGUUCCUUCGGGUAACUCCAGGGAAGAGUCUGUUCCCUUUCCUUUUUCAUCCUCCGAGAGGCGGAUGUGCGGUCACCUCCUCCAUCUUCAAAGAUAGCAGUCGAACAUCUUCAGAUCUCUCUAUUUGUGCUUCUCGCGUCCUAUCUUUUUCUCUGACUCUGGCCCUUUGUCUCCCUCUUCACUUACAAAGACAUUUGUGAUUGCACUGAACCCAUCCAGAUAAUCAUCCGGGAUAAUCUCCUCAUUUCCAAGUCAGUUUAUGACCCCCUUUGUUUGAUGUCCCUCAUUUUGAUUUCCCUUUGCCAUGUAAUAUAACAUAUUCAUAGACUCUCCGGGUUAGGAUGUGGAUAUCUUCAACGUGGUAAAAUUCUGACCGUCACAUGCAGACCCAGGUAGCACUAACCCUCCCAGAGGGACCUGGUGUUUGUAUAGUGAGUGCGACAGCGGUGCUAAGAAAGUCAGGGUUGCUUUGUCAUACAUUUACUUUAUGUCCUUGAACACUGUCAGAUUCCUCAUUGCUAUAGCGGAGGUAACGAUGGCUAAUUCACGCAGUUGUCGGGAUGAUCGAGUAACUUGCGUAACAUUCCUCGUACGUGCCUUGGCAUCUCCUGGGACUCAAGACAGCUCGCUUCCCCUUCUCUCCUGGGCUGCGUGGUUGCCGCGGUGCGUGGGGUCUUUCCGUAAAGAUGUUGACGGGAACCGCACACCGUUUCUUCCUCUCCUCCCGAGAAGGCAUUCCCCCCCACCCCUUUGUGUUUUCAUCCCCUAGGGCAGCGUGCAUCGUGUUGUACAAUAUUACAGAUGUAGGGUUUUAAGCAAGACUCUGUGGAGUAACGUUUAGCAACCUAUACAAACACAUCGUCUAGCUUCAUACUGUGGCUUUUGCAGACACUCAGCCUGGCUGUCCGUUCUGGGGCUGCUUGGAUGCCGGGCAUCAACCUCCCGAUGCAUUGCUGGUGCCAGAGGAGACGUGCCAUUUGAGCAGAGCCACCCGUGGUCUAGACGGCGGUCGGGUGGCCCCGCCUCUGGGUGAGGGCCGCGGAGCUGAAGUUAGGAGGAGAGAAUGCUUUGGUCCCUUUAGAGUCAACUUGGAUACCAAAUCCUUGACCUUGAGCUUAGGAAUAAGAAGCAAAGAAAUCCCUCAGCUCCUGGGACCACGGGCUGCCACCCAUUGGUCACUCCCAGGGUGCGAUCAACAUUCUGUGUGCUUUGCAUUUACUAACUCCUGAAAUCCUCCCCCUGCUCCUCAGAAGCGGACGCUAUUACUAUGAUUUCUAUCAAGCAGAGAGAAGCUGACCAAGGACACAAGCCUAGUAGGGGAUAGAGUCAGGUUGGAAGCCAGGUGGGGAGUCCAGAACCCAGUG